GGACGAACGCUGGCGGCGUGCUUAACACAUGCAAGUCGAGCGGUAAGGCCCUUCGGGGUACACGAGCGGCGAACGGGUGAGUAACACGUGGGUGAUCUGCCUCGCACUCUGGGAUAAGCCUGGGAAACUGGGUCUAAUACCGGAUAUGAACAUGGUCUGCAUGGAUUGUGUUGGAAAGGUUUACUGGUGCGAGAUGGGCCCGCGGCCUAUCAGCUUGUUGGUGGGGUAAUGGCCUACCAAGGCGACGACGGGUAGCCGACCUGAGAGGGUGACCGGCCACACUGGGACUGAGACACGGCCCAGACUCCUACGGGAGGCAGCAGUGGGGAAUAUUGCACAAUGGGCGAAAGCCUGAUGCAGCGACGCCGCGUGAGGGAUGACGGCCUUCGGGUUGUAAACCUCUUUCGACAGGGACGAAGCGCAAGUGACGGUACCUGUAGAAGAAGCACCGGCCAACUACGU
rnacentral:rRNA from 1 species